UUUUAGUUGUUUUUGUUUUUGGUUAUGUUUAUUUGUCAAAGUAAUGACUUUGGUUUCGUGGUUAUGGAUUCAUGAGUGUGACAAUGGUGGUUCAAAAGAUAAGGAGACUGAAGGGCAAUUGGAAUUAAAGUCAAAUGACAUGGAGUGAAGAAACUAGUUGGAACAACUGAUGAGAUCCAGAAGCAUUUUGGCUGUAGGUGGGUUUGACAUUCAAUGUGGGGCAAACUUGCAACUGUACAAUAACAAACUGCACAAUAACUUCUUAAAAGUUGAGGAAGAAUUUUAGUGUGUGGAGAGGGAAAAAGUUAAUAAGGUGGAGAACCUGAGCAUGUUAAAGGGUCGUGUUCUGUAGUCCUGCCUUUUAUUUAUUCAGUGCAUUUUAAAUGGGUAAGGAUAGGCCAAAUAGUAUGAAAUUUAAAGUUGGUUUC